rnacentral:rRNA from 1 species
AACGAACGCUGGCGGCAUGCCUAACACAUGCAAGUCGAACGAGACCUUCGGGUCUAGUGGCGCACGGGUGCGUAACGCGUGGGAACCUGCCCUUGGGUUCGGAAUAACUCCCCGAAAGGGGUGCUAAUACCGGAUAAUGUCUUCGGACCAAAGAUUUAUCGCCUUUGGAUGGGCCCGCGUUGGAUUAGCUAGUUGGUAGGGUAAAAGCCUACCAAGGCGACGAUCGAUAGCUGGUCUGAGAGGAUGAUCAGCCACACUGGGACUGAGACACGGCCCAGACUCCUACGGGAGGCAGCAGUGGGGAAUAUUGGACAAUGGGCGAAAGCCUGAGCCAGCAAUGCCGCGUGAGUGAUGAAGGCCUUAGGGUUGUAAAGCUCUUUUACCCGGGAUGAUAAUGACAGUACCGGGAGAAUAAGCUCCGGCUAACUCCGUGC